GAUGAACGCUGGCGGUGUGCCUAAUACAUGCAAGUCGAGCGAAUGGAUUAAGAGCUUGCUCAUAUGAAGUUAGCGGCGGACGGGUGAGUAACACGUGGGUAACCUGCCCAUAAGACUGGGAUAACUCCGGGAAACCGGGGCUAAUACCGGAUAACAUUUUGAACCGCAUGGUUCGAAAUUGAAAGGCGGCUUCGGCUGUCACUUAUGGAUGGACCCGCGUCGCAUUAGCUUGUUGGUGAGGUAACGGCUCACCAAGGCAACGAUGCGUAGCCGACCUGAGAGGGUGAUCGGCCACACUGGGACUGAGACACGGCCCAGACUCCUACGGGAGGCAGCAGUAGGGAAUCUUCCGCAAUGGACGAAAGUCUGACGGAGCAACGCCGCGUGAGUGAUGAAGGCUUUCGGGUCGUAAAACUCUGUUGUUAGGGAAGAACAAGUGCUAGUUGAAUAAGCUGGCACCUUGACGGUACCUAACCAGAAAGCCACGGCUAACUACGUGCCAGCCGCCGCGGUAA
rnacentral:rRNA from 1 species